GGUCCAGACUCCUACGGGAGGCAGCAGUGGGGGAUAUUGCACAAUGGGGGAAACCCUGAUGCAGCGACGCCGCGUGGGUGAAGAAGCGCCUCGGCGCGUAAAGCCCUGUCAGCAGGGAAGAAAAUGACGGUACCUGGCUAAGAAGCCCCGGCUAACUACGUGCCAGCAGCCGCGGUAAUACGUAGGGGGCAAGCGUUAUCCGGAUUUACUGGGUGUAAAGGGGGCGCAGACGGCAGCGCAAGCCAGGAGUGAAAGCCCGGGGCCCAACCCCGGGACUGCUCUUGGAACUGCGCGGCUGGAGUGCAGGAGGGGCAGGCGGAAUUCCUAGUGUAGCGGUGAAAUGCGUAGAUAUUAGGAGGAACACCAGUGGCGAAGGCGGCCUGCUGGACGAUGACUGACGCUGAGGCUCGAAAGCGUGGGGAGCAAACAGGAUUAGAUACCCCAGUA
rnacentral:rRNA from 1 species